AAUCCCUGGUGAGGGCACUUUCUUUGUAGUUCCUGAAACUCCUCUCAUGCCUCAUAGAGUGAAUCACCAUCCUUUUAAGUGAAAUUAUGAAUUUCCCUCCUAAGUCU